GUCCCAGUAGCACUACGGAUAGCAUGUUGGACUUUUAAUCCAAAGGUCGUGGGUUCGAAUCCUACCUGGGAUG